rnacentral:rRNA from 1 species
AGUUGAAUUUCAAGAAUCGAUAUUUUAUUGUAACUAUUCUAGGGGAACUAUUUUAGCUUUUCGCUUUAAUACGCUUCCUCUAUUAUUAUGUUCUUUAAAUAACAAAGAUUCUUUUUAAAAUCCCCACUUUUGCUUUUGCUUUUUGGGGAUUUUGUUACUUUGAGUAAAUUAGAGUGUUCAAAGCAAACAGUUAAAGCAUUUACUGUGUUUGAAUACUAUAGCAUGGAAUAACAAAAUUGAACAAGCUAAAAUUUUUUGUUCUUUUUUCUUAUUUUGGCUUAGUUACGAUUAAUAGGAGUAGCUUGGGGACAUUCGUAUUCAGAUGUCAGAGGUGAAAUUCUUAGAUUUUCUGGAGACGAACAACUGCGAAAGCAUUUGUCUAAAAUACUUCCAUUAAUCAAGAACGAAAGUUAAGGGAGUGAAGACGAUCAGAUACCGUCGUAAUCUUAACCAUAAACUAUGCCGACUAGGUGUUGGAUGAAAGUGUUAAAAAUAAAAGUCAUCUUUCGAGGUGACUUUUAGAUUGCUUCCUUCAGUACCUUAUGAGAAAUCAAAGUCUUUGGGUUCUGGGGCGAGUAUUCGCGCAAGCGAGAAAGUUAAAAGAAUUGACGGAAGGGCACCACCAGGCGUGGAGCUUGCGGCUUAAUUUGACUCAACACGGGGAAACUCACUAGUUUAAGACAAGAGUAGGAUUGACAGAUUAAUAGCUCUUUCUUGAUUUCUUGGAUGGUGAUGCAUGGCCGUUUUUAGUUCGUGAAUAUGAUUUGUCUGGUUAAUUCCGAUAACGAACGAGAUCUUAACCUGCUAAUUAGCGGCGAGUACACUAUAUUCUUAUUUGAAAUUGAACAUAGGUAACUAUACAUUUAUUCAGUAAUCAAAUUGGGAUAUUUUUAUUAAAAUAUUCCUUUCCCUGUUCUACUAAUAAUUUGUUUUUUACUCUAUUUCUCUCUUCUUUUAAGAAUGUACUUGCUUGAUUGAAAAGCUUCUUAGAGGAACAUUGUGUGUCUAACACAAGGAAGUUUAAGGCAACAACAGGUCUGUGAUGUCCUUAGAUGAACUAGGCUGCACGCGUGCUACACUGAUAUAUAUAACGAGUUUUUAAAAAUAUGCUUAUAUUUGUAUCUUUGAUGCUUAUAUUUUGCAUACUUUUCCUCCGCCGAAAGGUGUAGGUAAUCUUUAUCAAUAUAUAUCGUGAUGGGGAUAGAUUAUUGCAAUUAUUAAUCUUGAACGAGGAAUGCCUAGUAAGCAUGAUUCAUCAGAUUGUGCUGACUACGUCCCUGCCCUUUGUACACACCGCCCGUCGCUCCUACCGAUUGAAAGAUAUGAUGAAUUGUUUGGACAAGAAAAAUUGAAUUAUAUUCUUUUUUUUCUGGAAAAACCGUAAAUCCUAUCUUUUAAAGGAAGGAGAAGUCGUAACAAGGUUUCCGUAGGUGAACCUGCGGAAG